UGAGCCGUGAUGAGCCCAACAUGCCGUCUGAAUGCCCUUGUUGAAAUCUAAAGGCUGUUUCUGAGCUG